AGUCGAAAGCCCUCUUCGGAGGGAGUGGCAGACGGGUGAGUAACGCGUGGGAAUCUACCUAGUGGUGGAGGAUAACUUCGGGAAACCGGAGCUAAUACUCCAUAAGCCCUUCGGGGGAAAGUUUUUUCGCCAUUAGAUGAGCCCGCGUUAGAUUAGCUUGUUGGUAGGGUAAUGGCCUACCAAGGCGACGAUCUAUAGCUGGUCUGAGAGGAUGAUCAGCCACACUGGAACUGAGACACGGUCCAGACUCCUACGGGAGGCAGCAGUGGGGAAUAUUGCACAAUGGGCGCAAGCCUGAUGCAGCCAUGCCGCGUGUGUGAUGAAGGCCUUAGGGUUGUAAAACACUUUCAUCGGUGAAGAUAAUGACGGUAGCCGAAGAAGAAGCCCCGGCUAACUCCGUGCCAGCAGCCGCGGUAAUACGGAGGGGGCAAGCGUUGUUCGGAAUUACUGGGCGUAAAGCGCACGUAGGCGGACUGAUCAGUUGGGGGUGAAAUCCCGAGGCUUAACCUCGGAACUGCCUUCAAUACUGUCAGUCUUGAGAUCGGAAGAGGUGAGUGGAAUUCCUAGUGUAGAGGUGAAAUUCGUAGAUAUUAGGAAGAACACCAGUGGCGAAGGCGGCUCACUGGUCCGAUACUGACGCUGAGGUGCGAAAGCGUGGGGAGCGAACAGGAUUAGAUACCCUGGUAGUCCACGCCGUAAACGAUGAGAGCUAGCCGUCGGACAGUAUACUGUUCG
rnacentral:rRNA from 1 species